CUCUGAUUCAGAUCCAGAGGGCUUCCCUCGAACUCAAAGAGCACAGCUAGAUCCCCCAACCACCCCGCCCAAACUGCCCCAUCGGAGAGUACACCAUGUACCUUCACCCGUCUGCAGGAGUCAGAGGGAAAACAUGAAAUGGAUUUUGGUCUACUUCGGGCAAGGGGGGAGACGGUGCAGAAGACUAGACAACUGGUCACGCCUAACACAGGCAGAGCAAAGGAGCUGGGCCUGUCUGUUUUUCUGAGUGACACACAUCCAGGCCAACCAGCUCCUUUGUUCACCGGCUCUGACCGUGUUGUCCUGUCGCGAGGAUCUUCUGCCCUGGAGGAACUAUCUCCCUGAACCCGACGACCCAACAAGUCAUCGGUACCCGGUGUGACUGUGACUGCUGACAUCUUGACAUCACCGCGGACUGGACAAGAACACCGGUGUCUCUGCCCCAGCAGCAGCUCCACGUCGCGGGGCGUGCCCGACACCGGUUACCAAUGAAUUUUGCAAAGGUAAAAUAAUUCAGAGUUAGUUCUGGUGUCUUGUAUUAAUAUCUUUAUAAAUCCUGGUCAAUUAUGUUGUUGAUCAGUAACAGAAUGUUGGAGAGCGCUGGAGGCUGAAGACACACUCCUGAAUGUAAACUGUGUAUUUGUCUGUUUAUUGACCGUUUUGAAACGUUAUCUAUACUUACAGACCCGAGACCUUAUUUAUUAUGAAAAAAGCCAGGAAAUCUCAAUUUUGACAAUAUGGGCCCUUUUAUUAUACAAAAUAAAGUCUCGCUCAUUAAAACAUUCAUGGCUUUGCCAACAUCUCUUUAAGAUUUGACAACAUUUGACAGCAAAAUGUGUCUGGAACACUUCAAUGAUUCAAUAUUCAUAUUUAUACCUGUUCUUAAUAAACUGCUUUAAAACUGUA